rnacentral:rRNA from 1 species
GUGCGCGAAGAAGGCCUUCGGGUUGUAAAGCGCUUUUCGGGAGGAAGAGGAAGGACUGUACUCCCGGAAUAAGUCUCGGCUAACUACGUGCCAGCAGCCGCGGUAAUACGUAGGAGGCUAACGUUAUCCGGAUUUACUGGGCGUAAAGCGCGUGCAGGCGGUUCGUUAAGUUGGACGUGAAAGCUCCCGGCUCAACUGGGAGAGGUCGUUCAAUACUGGCGGACUUGAGGAUGGUAGAGGGAGGUGGAAUUCCGGGUGUAGUGGUGAAAUGCGCAGAUAUCCGGAGGAACACCAGUGGCGAAAGCGGCCUCCUGGACCAUUCCUGACGCUCAGACGCGAAAGCUAGGGUAGCAAACGGGAUUAGAGACCCCGGUAGUCCUAGCUGUAAACGAUGCGAACUUGGCGUCGGUGGGAUUAAAUCCAUCGGUGUCGAAGCUAACGCGAUAAGUUCACCGCCUGAGGACUAC